rnacentral:lncRNA from 1 species
AUUUGAGUGUUUUUAAAAACAUCAAACAUUGUAUUUUUUUUAAAUAUAGAACUAGAAGGUCCCAUGAAAGCUCUGGCCUCCAUUAGGAAAAAUAUGGCCAAUCCUGAUGACCUAGGUUCCAUGAUGAAAAAUAUAGGGGUUCCAUUACCCCAAGAUGUGAUUCAAAGCGCACUGAAGAAUGUGACUAUCAUGGAUGAUGGGAUGGUGAAUUUAGAAGAGUUUAUGGGCAAUUUGGUCAAUUCAGGAUUUUCAUCUCCACCUGAAACUGAGAGAAAAAUAAAUCAGAUGAGCCCAACAGAUACCAUGGAGGCUCUUAAAGGAGAGAUGGUAAAUAUCAGAGACCUGGACAGCAUACUAGGAAACAUGCACAUUGAACUCACCAAAGAAGAACUUGGAGAGCUGAGAAGAAACCUUCCCAUUAAUGGAGGAGAAGUUGACCUCAGUGACUUGGAUAAUGUCAUGCAAAAUAUGGGAAUAGAGCCCACACCUAAAGAACACUUGGAG